rnacentral:misc_RNA from 1 species
CUUGAACCAGGUGCCAUGCGCGUGGGAAGUAUUAGGGCAGCGAUGCAAGAAGGCGAGAAGCAAACUGUCAGCAAACCUGCUUGGCAACUGUGUCCGAGGGGCUGGCCAAGGUCUCCCGGCUACCCGCUUGCCAGUCGGUAUCCUCCAGUUGUGAGUUGCGGGUUGAGUACUACGAUCGGAACCGCCAAGACGGAGCAGCAGCAACAGCAGCAGCAGGACGCUGCCCCCAGCUUACCUACAGCUUCGGAGUGUUCCUCGCCACCCGGCUCUCUCACACCCACUGGCUACCAAACUUCAGCUCCAAGCUCACGUGAAGGGUCUCCGACUCCAAAAAGGAAAGUGCGCCGGGCCCCUACAGGGAAAGUGUCUAGUAGUGGCAUGAUAGAGGUUGUGCCAGGCGAGACAGCGCAGGGCACCGCGAUGUGGCGAUCUAGACCUGACCCUUCUAAAGACUCAGCUGUCCCUCCUUGGGCUGAUCCGAAUGCACAGGCCCCUCCGCCCCCAUCACAGCUAUAUAACCCUCUCUCGCCUACAUCUCAAAGGCGGCAAAUGAAGCUUUCUGCACCCACGUCGUCAGCCGUGGAGGCCAAUCCUUCUCCAAAGCAUUUCAACCGGCCGGCGCCAGGUGCUAGUCCCGUCAUGGCCCGGAGAUCACUUUCCCGAAACGGUGGUCCGCACAGGGCUCGUUCCGUGGACUCCAUUGCUCGGACACCUCCCUGGGCUGACCACAAGCUGCGCCACACCCCAAGGACUGAGUCACCUCUUAGUGCCUCGACUAAAGCCAAGGCAACGUCUUCCACGUCUCUUGAGAAAGCUCAAGAACUUACUGUUGUUUCCGCUUCUUCUGAGAGCCACGUCACAAUGCGAGAGCAGCAGUCCACGGUGGAGUUGAGUGUCGAGUGUCCUGUGCCGGGUGUCGGCUCUCAUGGAGUCGUUAAUGGAACCCAGCAGCUGCCUUCCCCAUUGGUCAGCCCCACUCCCGCUGCCGAAAGCCAGCCCGCCCCUGGCAAACUGUCGCAGGAACAGAGUUCCCCCACUCCUUGGCGUAAGCAGAGGGCAGCGGGUGCCAACGUCACCCCCGCACACCAGCAACAACCCGCACCUCCACCAGCUGCCAGUGCUGCCCCUGACAGUGAACCUACCGCUGCUAGUGCCCUUACAACCCCAGCCUCGCAGCAGGCACCCUGGAGAAAAGCAAGAGGGGAAGCUGCCCAAUCAUCGGUGACUUCCUCUUCCUCUGACAAGGCAACUGCCACAGCGGUGGAAACUUUCAAACAGGAGGGGACAGGCACAGGCUCACAGCCAAGCUGGCGAAAACAGAAAACAAAAUCUCGACCAGCAGACACAUCUAAAGUAGCUACUACUUCUGCACAAUCCCAAGAGUCAUCUUCAGUUGGUAUUACCACCUCACAAUCUGAUCUCCCUGCUGCCGCCACACUUGAUGGUAGCGCUUCCAAGGCGGCUCUUCAUCAAGUUUCAGUCACAUCUACUGCCGCUUCUUCAGCGUCUACUCAUGCAGCAAGCAAAUAUCCUCAACAAGUACCAUUUGUGGGCCAAACUGCAGUAGCUACGUCUGUUGUUACGUCAACUGUCUCUUCCCACCAAUCAGCUACUCAAGCAACACAUUCUGUUAAUGUGGUAAGCACUAAGAAAUCUAUCGUCUCAGCGAGUACUUCCUCCUCUGUUGUUACUUCUAAAGGCGAACGAAACGCCACUUCCCAGGCAGACAUUUCACGAAUAUCGGCCAGUUCGAACACAGUCUCCACACCGCCCUGCACCACUGCCACUGACCUCACUCCUACCAAAGGGCCUGGAAUUGACCUCCCGGCAGGACCUCCCGACCCUCCUCAAAGAAGCGACUCAAGCGGAGCGUCUGUCAAGAACAAACGCGACUUUCCUUCCUCACCUGUUCCUCCUCCGACUCCACCAUCCUCCCCUGCUGCAGCUGCACCCAGACACACUGCGGCAGGGCACGCGAGUGACACUCAAGUAAAUAAGCCUGGUAUUGUCCCUGGCACUUCACAAGCACCGUUAUCACCUAGAGAACUUGCUGGUGCACCACCCCAGUCCACGCCAAGGCCGGGCAGGGACAGUUUCUCGCCCACGCCCACCAUGCCCAUCCCGACGCCACCUCCUGAGCCCAGUGCCAACCUGGUGAAGGUUGGCGGAGUGAUGCAAUCACCCCAAACAGUGCCUGGGGAUAAGACCAGCGAGACAACACUCCAAACAGAUCAUACUGCAGCAAUGAAAGAUCCCGGUUCUCUGCCGCCGCCACCGCCACCGGUUACUGACAUGUCUUUGGAGAGCAUCGAGGCGAACCCAACCUUCCCGCCACCUCCCGCCUCCAUACAGGAGGAGAAAAUGAGAGGACCUCCGCCACCAAUGCGAGAACUGCCGAAUGAAGAAUUAGGUCUUGAGGAAGAGGGAUACGUGCGAGAAUCUGUAACAAAACGCAUCAAAGCCUUCGAGAAGCAAGCGUCAGAAGAGGAGCAGCCUGCCCUUGAACGACGCCAGCCUGUCGCCCGCCCUGUGGCCCCCUGGGUGAAGAAAACGUCCGCCGGGCCCGUCCAGCACGAUACCUACUGGGACAUGACAUCCCCCGAGGAGCGCACUGAUGGCGUGCCUGUCCCACCUCCCGUCCAGGCCACGGUCCCAACACCAGCCCAAGCCCCGGCUCCCGCUCUUGCCCCGCCGCCGCCUCCGCCACCGGCUCAGCCACCGGCUCAAACGAAACUCGAGCGAACGAUGUCCCCCACGAGGCCUGCACAGACCAAGGCCCCCGUCUCUGCCUCCCCUCCCGGGCCAACAGUCCGGUUCAGCCCCUGUCCUCCAAAGAGUCAGCCCGGUGGUGUUGUCAAGAGCCUCUCCAGUAGCCGGCCCCGCGUUGUGCCACAGCGUCAGAGAUCCGUGUCUACCGGGGACUACAUCGCUAAUUACAUCAUCCCAGACGAUCUCUGCAGGAUGCCAGCUGAAGGAUCUGUGGCCGUGGUAACAGAGCCAAUCAUGCCUCCAUCCCCGGCGAAGGAAGAACCUCUGUUUGACCCCUGGUGUGACCCAGAGAAUCCUCGCACAGUCACCUUUCAGGAUGUUAGUGCAGCAGCCUUCAAGAUUAAGUCUGGCAUUAUGAAUACCCCUUGCACUCGCUCCCAUCUUUCCAACGUCACUGACAUGGAAAUAUUCUUCAAGAAGGAGUUCAACCAGUGCACUGGCAGCUUCAAGGAACGCGGUGCACGUUACACACUCCUCAUGCUCACCCCAGAACAACAGAAAAAGGGUGUCAUUGCUGCAUCAGCUGGCAAUCAUGCACUGGCCCUCUCCUACCAUGGGCAGGACCUUGGCAUUCCUGUCACUGUGGUGAUGCCCCUGGUGGCACCUAUCAUGAAGGUGCAGGCAUGUCGGCAACACGGGGCCAAUGUCAUUGUGAGGGGGAAAGACAUUGGGGAAUGUAGGGAAUAUGCUCUCAAAGUCUCCAAGGACCAGGAUCUUCUCUACAUCAAUGGAUAUGACCACCCUCACAUCAUCGCGGGCCAGGGCACAAUGGGUCUGGAGAUAGUUGAGCAAGUGCCCAACAUUGAUGCAGUGGUCAUCCCAGUGGGUGGCGGUGGCCUCAUAGCAGGUGUGGCCUUGGCUGUGAAGGCACUCUAUCCACACAUCAAAGUCAUUGGUGUGGAAUCUGAGCGGUGUGCAAGCUUUAGUGGUGCCAUGAAGGCAGGGAAGCCUGUGUAUAUCAGGGCAGAAUCCACUCUGGCAGAUGGUCUGGCCGUCCCAAAGGUUGGCGUCAAUGCCUUUGCCACAGCGUGUCAUCUUGUUGAUAAGGUGGUGACAGUGAAAGAGGAGUGGAUUGCUAUUUCCAUCUUGCGUUUGGUAGAGGGUGAGAAGGCAGUGGUGGAGGGAGCUGGAGCCACAGCCCUUGCUGCCAUCCUUGCUGGGGAACUUCAGGAACUAAAAGGCAAAAGGGUUGUCAUCCCACUGUGUGGAGGCAACAUUGACACCACUGUGCUGGGUCGGUGUCUGGAGCGUGGUCUGGCGGCUGAUGGACGAUUGGUCAAAUUUACUGUGACAGUUAGUGACCGACCUGGAGGUAUUGCUGAGCUGACACGAUUGCUGGCCAACCUUGGUGUUUCCAUCAAGGACAUGGUACAUGAGCGUGCAUGGAUCAGGAGUGACAUCUUCAGUGUAGAGUAAAGGGGAUGCACAUGGUCAGCGGGGGACGCAAGGAAGAGCAGGUUACAGCAAGUGAAGGUGAAGGUAAUGGCCGAGACCAGGGACUAUGAACAUUGGCUGGAACUGAAGUCUGCACUUGAACAGCGAUACAAAAGACUGCGCUUCGCUCUGCCCGAUCUGGUGCAUGAUACCGCGCCCUCCUACCCUUAGUCAGUCCAU